rnacentral:lncRNA from 1 species
CUGGGCAGAGCUCUAAUCACCCCUGACGCUGCCAUCUGAAUACCACACCUCCAGCUGUUCCUGUGGCAACGAGCUGCUUUGUGUAACUAAUCAAGUGAUAAGGCUAAAAGAAGGAGACCACACGGAACACCAAUGAGUUACACCAGCUGCCUCUCUGUAAUAGGCAUUAGACUGCAGAGGUUAAGCUUCCAUCUGAGGAUCUCAAGGGAAUUUUGGCAAAAAUUUCCCACUGCUGUAAACUCCACCAAUGGCAAGAUUCUCAAAAGUUCAGAUUCUCAAAGGUAUUUAGCUGAAAGGUAGG